ensembl:lncRNA
CUUUUAUUUGUCUGUCCGCUGAAAUAGACACGUGAAGCAAUAAACCAGACGAGAGAUAAAUUCAUUACCAGAAAGUUGCGGUCUUCCGCUGUGGCCGGGGUGCAGUCCAUGUCCCGCGUGUGGAGGAAGUUUCCUGUACUGUGCGCUGGAUGUGCGGUGUACAGAGCUCUGUGCGGGAAGCGGCCGCAGCUCCAUUGAGGAGGCUCCACGUGUCUCGCGCCUUUCCAGCGGUUCGUGACGUAGAGAAAGAAAGCAGCCAGCUGUACAGCUGUGAUACAGAAACGAGUCGAAAGUUCUGAGAAAGUUGCCUCUUGUCUAUGUUAGUUUUGUCACGCAUGGCAGCAGUACCUGUCAGAGAACGCGGAACUAUCUGCGGGAUGGAUUACCAGCCCGGCCUAUUGGGCAUAUGCCCAGGAGCCCUGGAUGUGCAGAGAUUUUACAAUGAAUGAUCUUUUCAGAUGUGUAAAAAAUUUCUGACCACAUGACGGACACAGACAGGACUAAAAUCCCAGAGUGAUACGUUUAAUAAUGAACACCUUGCCAUGUAAAACUAGUCCAAAGCAAAUAUGGCUCAAUAAUUUUUGUUUAGUUUGUUUGGAGGAUUGCAACGUUUUGUUUAGUUUCUCAAAAACAUAGCACCAAAACUGUUUGAAAUAGGCUACUCAGAGUUGUACUCAGGCUGUGACGCAUUUUUGUUUUGAAAUUGUCUGUUUCUCGAGUUUUCACUUUACAUUUGUCAGCACUGAUAGUUCUUUAUAAUGCAAUCAAAAUGGGUGUCUGCUGUAAAGAAUUUAAGACUGAAUUAAGAAAUAUAAUGAGCACUGCUGUGCAUCCGCCAAAGUGGAUUAACCCUCUAAAUUUUUAAAGUAAGUGCAGGUUUGGCAGCUGCUCAAACAAACACAAUCAGAUGAGCUACAUAACUGCCACAGCUAUAUUACUGAAACACAGAAUUAUAGUUUUAAAUAUUUAUCGCAGAUAUGAAAUAUUCUCAUACCGCAAUUAUUUCUGUUAAAUUAUUGCGAUGAUAUAACGCUAUAUAACUUUAUGACUUUUAGGAUUUGUGAAUCAGCAGGAGUGUUGCCUGAAAUCUGACAAGCAUUUGAUUUGAUCUAAGAAUGGGCUGUUACACUGAAUGUUUAUCUUAAAACAACAAUUUAUUUGCAAUUUGUGUUGUAGAUUUAGUUGUAGUAUAAUAAACUCCCUUUAUAUUGAACAGUUCUAAAAAGGAACAGACCAUUUUAAAUACCUUUGAGUAUACUGUAAGCAGAAAUAUUUAUUCAGACACAUUUGUUUUUGUUAUUUAGUAUACUUUCAGUGCACAUAUCCACUAAAAAUCUAAAAUCUACACACACAAUGUCCUUGUGUUUAAGUAUGUCUUUUGGCUUCAUACUUAUAAAUAUGAACAAUAAAGUAUUUUAAAUAUGUAGCUGCUUCUCUGCAAACAGUAAUGGGGCAUGACAUGUCAUCGAAGGGAACAUGAAGUGUGAUGUACUAGUACAUAUUAGAGGAGAACUGAAGAUCAUCUGCCAAAACACUGUAUCUGGGGGGGAAUAUGGACAUUUCAACAAAACAACAAUCCCAGACAUCCAGACAACCUAACUCAAAACUGCUUUCUAAAAAAAAGGAGGUGGUUCUGGCAUGGUCUAGACUCUAAUCAGUCUCCUGACUUUAUUAAAGGAGGAUUUUGAAAUUACGAGUCUAUCAAAGAGACCCUCAUAACUUGAAAAUUGAAGGAAAUUUGCCAAGAGUAAUGGGCCAAAACUAAACCACAAUGCAGCAAAAACCCACUUUAUCGCAAAAGUCUCAAAACUGCAAUUGGCAACAAAAGUGUCCAAACAUUUAUUUCCCCUCACUGUAUCUGUGAAGAGAGAGGUCUUAAAUGUCACUGGCAGUAUAAACUGUGUAUAUUUGCAACCACUUCUGCUUGUAAAUUGCAUGAUCAUUCAGUAGUCUGUGUUUUAGCUAUAGGGUGUGUUCACAAGUAUUGACUGGGGUGCAUUUUCUUCUGAUGCUGAUGCAGGUUGUCUUUAAUCUUAAAAGCUCUGCCACAGUCAGAGCACAUGUAAGGCCUUGCCUCAGAGUGGACAACCACGUGUUUGGCAAGUGUGCGGCUGUGGCUAAAACCUUUCCUGCACACUGGGCACUGGAAGGGUCUCUCGCCGGUGUGGAUGUUGCGGUGCUCCUGUAGCCCUCGCUCCUGAGCGAACGCAGAGCCGCAGUCAGAGCAGAUAUGGGGGCGCUCGCCUGCCAAGAAGAGCCAAGAGUUAGUUAGAAUGCUGACAGUGUCUAGAAUAGUAUAGCAUUUCUUAUGCCGUUUAUUUUAGACAGUCUUUAAAAUCAUACUGAAAGGCAAAAGCAUAGCUGCAUGGAAUUGCAAAGACACUCAAGGAAUAGACUGAAGUAUGUCUCGAUACAUUGGGGAAUCACAGCCUGAACUCUAAACAAGUUUUUUGUUAAUAAUAUACAAUGACUACGUUUACAUGAACAUCAAAUUCUGUUUAUGGUCCAUAUUCAGGUUGCAGCCAUAUUCCGGAUACAAUGAUUAUAUGCGUAUAGGCAUCAGAAUAUUCCUGUAUACAUGGUUGUUGUAAGUGUGCCUGAGUUGCCAUUCCUGAAUACCUAGCCUACAGCUAAGCAUCUGUUAGCACCCACAUUUCCUUGUGAACUGAGAAGGCGCACACCUCUCAUACAGUUGUAUGCUUACAUGCAACACA